rnacentral:rRNA from 1 species
AGAGCGGCGCACGGGUGCGGAACACGUGUGCAACCUGCCUUUAUCUGGGGGAUAGCCUUUCGAAAGGAAGAUUAAUACCCCAUAAUAUAUUGAGUGGCAUCACUUGAUAUUGAAAACUCCGGUGGAUAGAGAUGGGCACGCGCAAGAUUAGAUAGUUGGUGAGGUAACGGCUCACCAAGUCAAUGAUCUUUAGGGGGCCUGAGAGGGUGAUCCCCCACACUGGUACUGAGACACGGACCAGACUCCUACGGGAGGCAGCAGUGAGGAAUAUUGGACAAUGGGUGAGAGCCUGAUCCAGCCAUCCCGCGUGAAGGACGACUGCCCUAUGGGUUGUAAACUUCUUUUAUACUGGGAUAAACCUACCCUCGUGAGGGUAGCUGAAGGUACAGUAUGAAUAAGCACCGGCUAACUCCGUGCCAGCAGCCGCGGUAAUACGGAGGGUGCAAGCGUUAUCCGGAUUUAUUGGGUUUAAAGGGUCCGUAGGCGGACUCGUAAGUCAGUGGUGAAAUCUCAUAGCUUAACUAUGAAACUGCCAUUGAUACUGCGGGUCUUGAGUAAAGUAGAAGUGGCUGGAAUAAGUAGUGUAGCGGUGAAAUGCAUAGAUAUUACUUAGAACACCAAUUGCGAAGGCAGGUCACUAUGUUUUAACUGACGCUGAUGGACGAAAGCGUGGGGAGCGAACAGGAUUAGAUACCCUGGUAGUCCACGCCGUAAACGAUGCUAACUCGUUUUUGGGUUUUCGGAUUCAGAGACUAAGCGAAAGUGAUAAGUUAGCCACCUGGGGAGUACGUUCGCAAGAAUGAAACUCAAAGGAAUUGACGGGGGCCCGCACAAGCGGUGGAUUAUGUGGUUUAAUUCGAUGAUACGCGAGGAACCUUACCAAGGCUUAAAUGGGAAUUGACAGGUUUAGAAAUAGAUCCUUCUUCGGACAAUUUUCAAGGUGCUGCAUGGUUGUCGUCAGCUCGUGCCGUGAGGUGUUAGGUUAAGUCCUGCAACGAGCGCAACCCCUGUCACUAGUUGCCAUCAUUCAGUUGGGGACUCUAGUGAGACUGCCUACGCAAGUAGAGAGGAAGGUGGGGAUGACGUCAAAUCAUCACGGCCCUUACGCCUUGGGCCACACACGUAAUACAAUGGCCGGUACAGAGGGCAGCUACUAUGCGAAUAGAUGCGAAUCUCGAAAGCCGGUCUCAGUUCGGAUUGGAGUCUGC